rnacentral:tRNA from 1 species
UGGUGGUUCAGUGGUAGAAUUCUUGCCUCACACACAAGACACCCGGGUUUGAUUCUUGGCCA